AAACCAGUCUACUCUAUUUACCAGUCGAUCUACUAUCUAUCUAUCUAUUUUUUUUUUUUUUUAAUUUGAGGUUUUGUUUUGAGUUUAUUGUGUGCUGUGCACUUAGGAAGCCGGCUUAGGUAGGCAGGGAAUGUAAAUAACUGCCAUUCAUUUUGUAUAAUACAAUUUUCGAAUUUAUCUGUUUUGUGUUGUCUGUUCAGAUGACCGUUUACUAUUUCAGGCUCCAUUGUCAUAUCUAGAGCUUCUGAUACUAGCCCAGCUUUAAUUUCUUAAUACUUAAAUUAGGUAGUAGUUACAUUAACCUAAGACAAAGGUUACAUAAGCUUUGGAUCAUGAGCUGUUCCAAGCCUUCUCCAUACUUUUCUUUUCCCGUCAUUCUGGGAAAGGUUGAUCUUAGUUUUAUCAGUCCAAAGAAUGUUUUUCCAGAACUGGUCGGGCCUUUUUAGAUGUUUUUUUGACAAAGUCCAAUCUGGCCUUUCUAUUCUUGAGACUUAUGAAUGGUUUGCGAUCAUCUACUACUGUUGUCUUCCAUGGACGGCCAGGCCUUUUUAUGUUGCUGAGCUCACCAUUGCAUUCUUUUUUCCUCAGAAUGUACCAAACUGUUGAUCUGGCCACUCCUAAUGUUCCUGCUAUCUCUCUGAUGGAUUUGUUUUGUUUUUGAAGCCUAACGAUGACCUGUUUGACUUGCAUGGAGAGCGCCUUUGAACGCAUGAUCUCCAGCUCCAGUUGGACUCUGCUUCAUUAAAUAUUCAGAUAUACUAAGAGGAGAUGACGACUACACGUGAUUGUUGAGGACAACGACCUCAUCAUCAAUACAACAUUGUCAGACUGUAUAUUUAUAAUCACACCCUCCAGUGUCACCCACAUGAGCACCAGGUUCCCCCUUAAAUCCAGUUCCUCUCAAGGAUUCUCUCUAAGGGUGUUUUACCUCACCACAGACACCUCAGGCUUUCUCAUUAGGGAUGAAUACAUACUAAUAAUAACCUUGAGUUUUUGUUUUAUAUUAAUCUCUAUAUAACUUUGUUUUAUGGUGAUUUUCUGUAAAGCUGCUUUGAGACAUCCAUUGCGAAAAGCGCUAUACAAAUAAAUGUGCAUUUAUUUA